UUUCCGUAGGUGAACCUGCGGAAGGAUCAUUACAGAGUUCAUGCCCUCACGGGUAGAUCUCCCACCCUUGAAUAUUUAUACCUUAGUUGCUUUGGCAGGCCGUGGAAACACCAUGGGCUCCGGCUUAUGCGUGCCUGCCAGAGGAAACAAACUCUGUUUUCAGUGACGUCUGAGUACUAUAUAAUAGUUAAAGCUUUCAACAACGGAUCUCUUGGUUCUG
rnacentral:misc_RNA from 1 species